rnacentral:rRNA from 1 species
GACGAACGCUGGCGGCAUGCUUAACACAUGCAAGUCGAACGGAAAGGCCCUGCUUUUGUGGGGUGCUCGAGUGGCGAACGGGUGAGUAACACGUGAGUAACCUGCCCUUGACUUUGGGAUAACUUCAGGAAACUGGGGCUAAUACCGGAUAGGAGCUCCUGCUGCAUGGUGGGGGUUGGAAAGUUUCGGCGGUUGGGGAUGGACUCGCGGCUUAUCAGCUUGUUGGUGGGGUAGUGGCUUACCAAGGCUUUGACGGGUAGCCGGCCUGAGAGGGUGACCGGCCACAUUGGGACUGAGAUACGGCCAAGACUCCUACGGGAGGCAGCAGUGGGGAAUAUUGCACAAUGGGCGGAAGCCUGAUGCAGCAACGCCGCGUGCGGGAUGACGGCCUUCGGGUUGUAAACCGCUUUCGCCUGUGACGAAGCGUGAGUGACGGUAAUGGGUAAAGAAGCACCGGCUAACUACGUG